AGUGGGAUAUCAAUUCCCUGCCCAACAGAGUUAGCCUUGUCCUCAAGGCUGAAACCUGGAAAGGGCAAAUGGUUGUUGCAGACCGCCAAAUGACUUUCUCAACAAAUUAGAUUCAACAAUGUCAAGACGAUGCAGUGUCAUUCUUUUACUCAUACGUGAAUGGGCAAGCUUCACCUAUGAACCAUGUAAAAAAACAGACCAUUCUCCUCACUCAACAAAGACCCUUGGAUACAGAAAAGCAGUUUCUGCAGGAUUGGAACAAAAAAUGAGUUUUAGAAUUCUCUCACCUGCCUCUGUGAUAACUUGCUUUAAUUGCUCGAAAAUCAGAACUCGAGUCAGGAAACUCUUUCUCCCCUGCCGCCUCUGUGAUAACUUGCUUCAAUUGCUCUUUAGCUACCUAGUAAAAAGAUGAAACACAUAAUGAAAUACACAAAUAGAAUCACAUGACAAAUCCUAAACAUCAAAUUACCUUCAAAUCGGUUCCGUGUAGAGGCAGAGAGAGUAGGGUUUUGUGAGGCAGAGAGCGCUAGGGUUCGUAUGGAGGCAGAGUUCGUGUGAGGCAGGCAUGGCUAGGGUUCGUGUGAGGCAGAGAGCCCUAGGUUCGUGUGGAAGCAACAAGCACUAGGGUUCGUGGGAGCCAGACAUCGCUAGGGUUUGUGUGAGGCAGAGUGCUCGAUUCGUGUGGAAGCAGCGCAGGGUUCAUGUGAGUGUGAGGCAGAGAGAAGGACGAGAGUGAAAGUGUUAGACUUAGGGUCACUCUUGUUUUCAAAAUGAAAUUAAAAAAAAAUUAUUUUCUUAAGUU
rnacentral:lncRNA from 1 species